rnacentral:rRNA from 1 species
GAUGAACGCUGGCGGCGUGCCUAAUACAUGCAAGUCGAGCGAACGGACGAGAAGCUUGCUUCUCUGAUGUUAGCGGCGGACGGGUGAGUAACACGUGGAUAACCUACCUAUAAGACUGGGAUAACUUCGGGAAACCGGAGCUAAUACCGGAUAAUAUUUUGAACCGCAUGGUUCAAAAGUGAAAGACGGUCUUGCUGUCACUUAUAGAUGGAUCCGCGCUGCAUUAGCUAGUUGGUAAGGUAACGGCUUACCAAGGCAACGAUGCAUAGCCGACCUGAGAGGGGGGUCGGCCACACUGGAACUGAGCCACGGUCCAGACUCCUACGGGAGGCAGCAGUAGGGAAUCUUCCGCAAUGGGCGAAAGCCUGACGGAGCAACGCCGCGUGAGUGAUGAAGGUCUUCGGAUCGUAAAACUCUGUUAUUAGGGAAGAACAUAUGUGUAAGUAACUGUGCACAUCUUGACGGUACCUAAUCAGAAAGCCACGGCUAACUACGUG